rnacentral:rRNA from 1 species
UCAAGUGUCUUAAGGGCAUUUGGUGGAUGCCUUGGCAUGCACAGGCGAUGAAGGACGUGAUACGCUGCGAUAAGCGUCGGGGAGGUGCGAAUACCCUUUGAUCCGACGAUUUCCGAAUGGGGCAACCCACCUUAGAUGACUAGAAAAUCUGUUUUGUUGGAGCAACGCUGGAUGGGUUUACACCCAUACAGACCGCUAGGUCGUCGGCCCAUGUGGGCCGCCCCCGCGGAGCGCCAGCAUUCCUCUGGAAUGCGUACGGCGCGUGAGCGAGAACAGCACAGCUUUCUAGUCAUCAUAAAUAAGGUAUCUAACCUUGAAUACAUAGGGGUUAGAAGCGAACCUGGGGAACUGAAACAUCUAAGUACCCAGAGGAAAGGACAUCAAACGAGACUCCGCUAGUAGUGGCGAGCGAACGCGGACCAGGCCAGUGGCUUUUGUGAAUAAAGUGGAACGAGUUGGAAAACUCGACCGAAGUGGGUGAUAGUCCCGUACACGUAGAAUAGCAGAAGUCCUUGAGUAGGGCGGGACACGUGAAAUCCUGUCUGAACAUGGGUCGACCACGAUCCAAGCCUAAGUACUCGUGCAUGACCGAUAGCGAACCAGUACCGUGAGGGAAAGGUGAAAAGCACCCCGACGAGGGGAGUGAAACAGUACCUGAAACCGGAUGCCUACAAACAGUUGGAGCCCAAGGUUUGUCCUGGGUGACAGCGUACCUUUUGUAUAAUGGGUCAGCGACUUAGUGUAUCGAGCAAGCUUAAGCCGGUAGGUGUAGGCGCAGCGAAAGCGAGUCUGAACAGGGCGUUCAGUUCGAUGCAUUAGACCCGAAACCAAGUGAUCUAGCCAUGAGCAGGUUGAAGGUACGGUAACACGUACUGGAGGACCGAACCCAUAUCUGUUGCAAUAGAUCGGGAUGACUUGUGGCUAGGGGUGAAAGGCCAAUCAAACUUGGAGAUAGCUGGUUCUCCGCGAAAUCUAUUUAGGUAGAGCGUCGACCGAAUACCCCCGGGGGUAGAGCACUGGAUGGGCUAUGGGGACUCACCGUCUUACUGAUCCUAACCAAACUCCGAAUACCGGGGAGUACUAGUCGGCAGACACACGGCGGGUGCUAACGUCCGUCGUGGAGAGGGCAACAACCCUGACCACCAUCUAAGGUCCCUAAGUUAUGGCUAAGUGGGAAAGGAUGUGAGGAUCCCAAAACAACCAGGAUGUUGGCUUAGAAGCAGCCAUCAUUUAAAGAAAGCGUAACAGCUCACUGGUCUAAAUAAGGGUCUUUGCGCCGAAAAUGUACCGGGGCUCAAGCCAUACACCGAAGCUGUGGAUGCACGUAUGUGCGUGGUAGCGGAGCGUUCCGUAAGCCUGUGAAGGGACAGUCGUGAGACAUCCUGGAGGUAUCGGAAGUGAGAAUGCUGACAUGAGUAACGAUAAAGGGAGUGAGAGACUCCCUCGCCGAAAGUCCAAGGGUUCCUGCUUAAAGUUAAUCUGAGCAGGGUUAGCCGGCCCCUAAGGCGAGGCCGAAAGGCGUAGUCGAUGGGAACCACGUUAAUAUUCGUGGGCCUGCAGGUGGUGACGGAUCGCGUGUGUUGUGAGGUCUUAUUGGAUUGAUCUUGCAGCGAAGCGGUUCCAGGAAAUAGCUCCUGCAUAUAGACCGUACCCUAAACCGACACUGGUGGACUGGUAGAGAAUACCAAGGCGCUUGAGAGAACUGCGUUGAAGGAACUCGGCAAAAUGCACGCGUAACUUCGGAAGAAGCGUGACCUCACUAUGGGCAACCAUAGGGGGGUGGCACAGACCAGGGGGUAGCGACUGUUUACCAAAAACACAGGGCUCUGCGAAGUCGCAAGACGACGUAUAGGGUCUGACGCCUGCCCGGUGCUGGAAGGUUAAGAGGAGAGGUGCAAGCCUUGAAUUGAAGCCCCAGUAAACGGCGGCCGUAACUAUAACGGUCCUAAGGUAGCGAAAUUCCUUGUCGGGUAAGUUCCGACCUGCACGAAUGGCGUAACGACUUCCCCGCUGUCUCCAACGCAGACUCAGUGAAAUUGAAUUCCCCGUGAAGAUGCGGGGUUCCUGCGGUUAGACGGAAAGACCCCGUGCACCUUUACUAUAGCUUUACACUGGCAUUCGUGACGACAUGUGUAGGAUAGGUGGUAGACUUUGAAGCAGGGGCGCCAGCCUUU